CAUCUGGGGCGCUCUAUGGCCUGUUCCUGACUGCGGCUGCACAGCCCCUGAAGGCCAAGACCAGCCUCCCAGCCUGGUCUGCUGCCAUGGAUGCCGGCCUGGAAGCCAUGCAGAAGUAUGGCAAGGCUGCCCCAGGGGACAGGACUAUGCUGGAUUCUCUGUGGGCAGCAGGGCAGGAGCUCCAAGCCUGGAAGAGCCCAGGAGCUGAUCUGUUACAAGUCCUGACCAAAGCAGUCAAGGUGAGUGAGGCUGGGCCCAGCCACCUGGGGAGACAGGCUUCUAGCCAGCAGACUCCUGUCUCCAUGUGACCCUGAGCAAGUUAAUAACCUUCCUGGACCGCAGUUUCCUUCUCUGUACAAUGGAGAUGAGCACCUAUCUCAGAAGGUGGUUAUGUGGCUAAGGAAAUAUGUAGAGCCCCGCACACUGCCUGGGAUGUGACAGGGCCUCAGUGAAUGGUGACCCUUUUCCCUGCUGGAAGUAGAU
rnacentral:sRNA from 1 species